rnacentral:rRNA from 1 species
GAUGAACGCUGGCGGCGUGCUUAACACAUGCAAGUCGAACGAUGAACCGGGUGCUUGCACUUGGGGAUUAGUGGCGAACGGGUGAGUAACACGUGAGUAACCUGCCCUGGACUCUGGGAUAACCCCGAGAAAUCGGAGCUAAUACCGGAUAGGACCUUUCCCCGCAUGGGGUUUGGUGGAAAGUUUUUCGGUCUGGGAUGGACUCGCGGCCUAUCAGCUUGUUGGUGAGGUAAUGGCUCACCAAGGCGUCGACGGGUAGCCGGCCUGAGAGGGUGACCGGCCACACUGGGACUGAGACACGGCCCAGACCCCUACGGGAGGCAGCAGUGGGGAAUAUUGCACAAUGGGCGCAAGCCUGAUGCAGCAACGCCGCGUGCGGGAUGACGGCCUUCGGGUUGUAAACCGCUUUUAGUAGGGAAGAAGGGCUUCGGCUUGACGGUACCUGCAGAAAAAGGACCGGCUAACUACGUGCCAGCCGCCGCUGUAAUAC